rnacentral:rRNA from 1 species
UACGAAGGGGGCGAGCGUUGUUCGGAAUCACUGGGCGUAAAGGGCGCGUAGGCGGCCCUCCUUGUCGCGUGUGAAAGCCCCGGGCUCAACCUGGGAACGGCGCGCGAGACGGGGGGGCUGGAGUUCGGGAGAGGAGCGUGGAAUUCCCAGUGUAGAGGUGAAAUUCGUAAGAUAUCGUAAGGAAGACCAGUGGCGAAGGCGGGUCUCUGGACAGUUCCUGACGCUGAGGCACGAAGGCCAGGGGAGCAAACGGG